UACGAAGGGUGCAAACGUUGCUCGGAAUUAUUGGGCGUAAAGCGCACGUAGGCGGAUCUUUAAGUCAGGGGUGAAAUCCUGGAGCUCAACUCCAGAACUGCCUUUGAUACUGGGGAUCUCGAGUCCGGGAGAGGUGAGUGGAACUCCGAGUGUAGAGGUGAAAUUCGUAGAUAUUCGCAAGAACACCAGUGGCGAAGGCGGCUCACUGGCCCGGAACUGACGCUGAGGUGCGAAAGCGUGGGGAGCAAACAGG
rnacentral:rRNA from 1 species